AAAAUAUAUAAAUAUAAACAUACUAACGCAUGAUGACAAAAAGUUAUAUAUUCCUUUUCUGCUUCUACAUUUACUUGUUUUUCUUUUUCUCCAUUUUCUUCCUCAAUUUCUUU
rnacentral:ribozyme from 14 species